UUGUUCACGGGUCUGUCACUUUCUCACCCUCAAACCACAGUGAAACCUAAUCUUCCCAACUUUACCGUUGUGAUUUCAAGAAAGAAAAGAAAAAAAAAAAUGUUACCGUUGUGUUCUCCGCGCCGGCGCAUAUUUAUAUAAGAGGAACAUCCACGACCAGAUUUUGAAAAAUAAAAUAUAGUGCAGAAGAAAAGCAAGAGGCGCUCACAUUGACAUGCCCUUCUUUUUUUAACAGCGGCGUUUUUGAACAUCGUCUCAGACGUCCGGCCGCCUCCGCCGACUGCCCUCAGCCUCGAUCUCUUCUUUCUUAAGGUCUCGGUUUGUUAUUUCAAGGUUCUUGAAUUUCAAUUACUACAUGGGUUCUAUUGUAUGUCUUGGAUUACGACUGCAAUCUGCGGACAAGUGUGUGGGACUUACAUACAAGGAUGCUGGUGUGGACAUUGUUGCUUGAUCAGAACUUGUUAAGAGAAUAGUCAAGAUGGCUCACUGAAUUGGAGGUUAUGAAGGCUUUUCCCUUUGGUCCUGUUUUUCAGAGCUUCUUUCUUGAAGGCAGAUUUGGCUUUGCUUAUUCCACUUGCACUUUGGGAUUCCUAUAGAGAUGGAGGGGGAACCAAACAUAUGUUGGCUUUUGGGACUCGAAUCGACAAGGCUACUGGCAUUGAAUUGGAGAACCUGCAGGCUUUGAAUUGGAUUGUCAUCUUUGUCUGCUGGCUGAUCUUCCCUACCAUUAGGUUGGGAAAGAAUUUAAGUUAGCAGUGAAGAUGAUCUGAAUGAAAGAGUCUGCUUAACAACGUUCAUGGAUUUGUCGAUAUCAGUUGUGGCGUUCAAGUAAUUCUAAGUAUGAGCCUCAUGGGUUCGCCGUGGAUGUAAAUCUUGCCUACUGUAAAUAGAACCAAGCAUGUUUGUAAUACUUAGAUCAUAGUCAUGUAUUAAGGAAACCAGAAACAGGGAAAGUAUGUCUGGUUCAUGCCUAAAAGUGAUCCCUAGAGAUCCUAUGUAGUUGUUUCCUACUAUCUUGUUAGUAAAUAUUUGAUGUGGUACCAUGUUUUGAGCAAGCAAGCAAUUUUUCUUUUUCCUU